CGCAUGUUCGUUGAUAGCUCUGCACAGUUGCCGCCGUGUGCAGCAGGGCAUUUUCGGCCAAUCUCUCUGACGCCCUACGCCCCCACCGCGACUCCACAUGCUUGCAACUUGCUAGACAUCCGCCAGGUGAUGAGGCCGCUCCGCCUUGGCAAGGCACCCACCGAGGCACCAACCAAUCUGCCCUUUGGGGAAGUGGCGAUGCAGUGCUCGGAUCGAACGUCGAAGUGGUAAGAACUCACUGACAUCCUAGAAUUUUCUUUUACAAGGAAACCUUGUUUAUUUCUUUUACUGAUACAAGGGCCUCUCGUCCUAGGUUUUUAUUAAUUCUGUUCGAAAUCUAGUUCACUGGCUAAGGCAUCUUCAUGGGCGCAACUGAAAAAAGGGUGCGGGGGGGGGGGGGGAUCUUCAUGGGCAUGUGGUGUUUGUUGAAAUGCCACAGUACUGAGAAAGUAUAUUGCAGUUCAAGAGGGAAAAACAUAUGGAUUCCUGAAUGCUAUUUAUAUCAAAUACUAGCGCAUCAACGUAUUGAACUAGGGACAUAGUCUACCAGAAGCAACUUUGGUGUUAUUUUUCAUAUUGAUAUAUUAGUGAAUACAAUUUAAAACAACAUUGCUACAAAAAA
rnacentral:lncRNA from 1 species